UCUGGAGCAGCGUUGUUUUAUCUCCGUCCGUCUUCUCUCCUACCUAAGUGCGUGCCGCCACCCGAUGGAAGAUUCGAUGGACAUGGACAUGAGCCCCCUGAGGCCCCAGAACUAUCUUUUCGGUUGUGAACUAAAGGCCGACAAAGAUUAUCACUUUAAGGUGGAUAAUGAUGAAAAUGAGCACCAGUUAUCUUUAAGAACGGUCAGUUUAGGGGCUGGUGCAAAGGAUGAAUUGCACAUUGUUGAAGCAGAGGCAAUGAAUUAUGAAGGCAGUCCAAUUAAAGUAACACUGGCAACUUUGAAAAUGUCUGUACAGCCAACGGUUUCCCUUGGGGGCUUUGAAAUAACACCACCAGUGGUCUUAAGGUUGAAGUGUGGUUCAGGGCCAGUGCAUAUUAGUGGACAGCACUUAGUAGCUGUGGAGGAAGAUGCAGAGUCAGAAGAUGAAGAGGAGGAGGAUGUGAAACUCUUAAGUAUAUCUGGAAAGCGGUCUGCCCCUGGAGGUGGUAGCAAGGUUCCACAGGUAGAGAUGGCAAGUUUAUUAUAGGUUUUGUAUUAUAGCUUUUAGUUUGGUGAUAGAACAGCUCUUGUUCAUGAGUAUGUAUCUUUUCUUUUCAAAGAAAAAAGUAAAACUUGCUGCUGAUGAAGAUGAUGACGAUGAUGAUGAAGA
rnacentral:sRNA from 1 species